UUAGAUUCAUCCGCGCUGAUGAGCUGUGCCGAGGAACAACGCACGUACAGAUAACUGUUCCGCAUAUGACUGCAAUCUCAUGUUUCAAACAGAGAUGGCGACAAAGAGGAAAAACUGCGGACAGCAGCUUAAAGUUUAUCAUUAAUUUCUAUUGUGUAUGUGCAUAACAUGCAUAAAUGUGGACCCUUAAAAUAAGGUAUUAACAUCUCCUUUGAGAUCUGCCUCCCUCCCCUUCAGGUACAGUCAUUUUAUUUUCAUCUGUUUACAUUUAUUGAGGUAAGAAGACAAAUAUAAGAAAUAAGAAAAUGAAUGCGUAUCAUUUCUAUCUCUUGUUUCUUGUUCCUUAACAGACCCAAAGGAAAAGGACAGUGAUUCCCAAACCACAGAGAAAUUAAUGACUGUUGAUGAGUAUCAAGCACAACCUCGACAGAGACUCAGAAGAGGCUGAAAAAAAAUGGAGGAAAACGAAAAAUUGAGGAAUGGCGACGACAAAGUAAGAAAAAUGCUCAGAGAGCUACCAAAUCUGAUAAAUGAAGUGAAGAUGGCCCUGAAGUCUCAGUGUUCAUCAGCAUCAGUCAGCUCUGCCCUGGAAGAUGGGAAAGGAUUUGCCACAGAGUAAUUACAGAGCCCUUCCAACAGAACAGGAGCAACGUUGCAGAAAGUGUCCUCAUGUGGUGCCUGCCAGCAUUGGUACAGCAAUUAAUGCCAAACUUUCUGAAAUUAGAGGGAAGAAAACACAAAAACAUCUGAAAACCUUAAUGGUCUUUGAUGAUUGAUAGCUGUGACAGUGUGUUCAAGGUAUUUUGUUGUUGUUGUUGUUGGGGUGUGUGUGUGUCUGUGUUUUGCCUUCGCAAAGUUCAGUUUGAUAUCAAGUUGUAAUUCUAAAUUACUCUUGUGCAGUAUAAUUUGAUUGUCUCUUUGUGUUGAAAUAAAAGUAUUUCUGAUGUAAAUUUGUGCAAGUAAUUGACUGAAAUCAUAUAUGAUUUGUAUAUGCAGAGAUAUAAUAUUUACUGAAAUCAUAUAAGAUAAUUAUAUGUAGAGAUAUGAGGAAUUUAGGUGAAAACAUAA